CUUACUUUUGCAUCUCAUCGCAUUUGCUAAGGUCUCUUCUGUCUGUCUCUCUCUUUCUCUCUCUCUCUCUCUCUCUCAAUUUCCGAGGAUUCUUCGAUACUACCGAUUCAGAAUCCAACUUCUCUACCAUUUCUUUUUUCCAACUCAACUCGCCGGCUCGACUCGCUCUCCAAGUGAGUUUCUUACUUCCCUCUCUCUCUUUUCAGUCUCUCUCACUCGUUUUCUUGAACUUUUUGACUAAAGACCAAAAAAGCAAAAUCUGGGUUGGUUGGUUGUUGUCGAUUUAAUAAUAUUUCCCACCUGUAUCCUAGUAUUUGGUUUUGUUUGGUUAUGUUUUGGUGGAAGUUUGGUGAAGAAACAAUUUUCAAAUGUUUGAUUUUUUGAUGAUUCCUACAGAGAUUUUUAAGAUCACCCAUUAGAGGAAAAAGCCUGUUGUCUUCCAAAGUUGCUGUCUUUUUUUCAAUUCAGUGAAAAUAUUGAGAUUCAAAGGUCUGAUCUUUCUUAGGGUUUUGGGGUGGGUUUUGAAUUGGAAUGGCGAAUGACAAUAAAAUUGAGACUUUGAUUUCUGCUAGGAAGUCUUUGAAGCUUAGCUUAGAGAAGUCAAGGGCUUUAGGGUUAGCUUUAGGCAAAGCUGGGCCAAGAUUAGAGGAGAUUAAUCAAACAUUACCUUCUCUUCAGGCUGCGGUUCGGCCUAUUCGAGCCGACAAGGAUGCCCUUGUUGCGGUUGGGGGCCAUAUCAACCGUGCAGUAAGCCCGGCAGCAGCAGUGCUUAAGGUGUUUGAUGCUGUUCAUGGGCUCGAAAAGUCGUUGUUGUCUGACCCGCGGAAUGAUCUCCCGGGCUACUUAUCAGUGUUGAAACGCCUUGAGGAGGCUUUGAAGUUUUUGGCAGAUAAUUGUGGAUUGGCAAUUCAGUGGUUGGAAGAUAUAGUGGAGUAUUUGGAGGAUAAUACGGUAGCUGAUGAACGGUUCCUUUCGAAUUUGAAGAAGUCAUUGAAAAAUCUUAGAGAAUUGCAGGAUGAUGGGGAGAGGGCUCACCUUGAUGGUGGGCUUUUAGAUGCCGCAUUGGAUAAGUUGGAAAAUGAGUUUAGGAGGCUCUUGACUGAGCAUAGUAAUCCACUUCCAAUGUCAUCAUCGUCAUCCCUUGGUGAGCAAGCAUGCAUCGCGCCAUCACCUUUGCCGGUUAGUGUCAUUCAGAAGUUGCAAGCAAUUCUUGGGAGAUUAAUUGCCAAUAAAAGACUUGAUAAGUGUAUAUCAAUCUAUGUUGAAGUUCGUAGCUCAAAUGUUAGAGCGAGUUUGCAGGCUCUUGAUUUGGAUUACCUUGAGAUCUCUGUAUCAGAAUUCAAUGACGUGACUAGCAUAGAGGGGUAUAUAGCACAGUGGGGUAAGCAUUUAGAGUUUGCAGUGAAGCAUUUGUUUGAGGCAGAGUAUAAGCUUUGUAUUGAUGUUUUUGAAAGGAUGGGAUUGGAUGUGUGGAUGGGUUGCUUUGCAAAGAUAGCUGCUCAGGCUGGUAUUCUUGCAUUUCUUCAAUUUGGGAAGACUGUUACAGAGAGUAGGAAAGACCCCAAUAAGCUUUUAAAGUUGUUAGAUAUAUUUGCAUCUUUGAACAAAUUGAGACUGGACUUUAACCGGCUGUUUGGUGGAGCAGCAUGUGUUGAAAUUCAGAACCUGACAAGGGAUCUCAUCAAGAGGGUGAUUGAUGGGGCAGCAGAGUUGUUCUGGGAGCUUCUGGAUCAAGUUGCGUUACAAAGAGAGAUCCCGCCUCCUCCAGAUGGGGCUGUUCCAAGAUUGGUAAUCAUCAUUAUUGAUUACUGUAAUAAACUGCUUGGGGAUGAUUACAAGACGAUCCUAACCCAAGUUCUGGUCAUUCACCGGAGUUGGAAGCAUGAAAAAUUUCGAGAAAGGGUCCUUGUUAAUGAGGUUUUGAACAUAAUCAAAGCCAUUGAACAAAAUUUGGAGGCAUGGAUGAAGGUUAUUGAGGAUGGCACCCUAUCUCACUUUUUUGCAAUGAACAACCACUGGUAUUUGUACAAGCACCUGAAGGGAACAAAAGUUGGGGAUCUCCUUGGUGAUUCUUGGUUAAAAGAACAUGAACAGUCCAAGGACUAUCAUUCCACUUACUUCUUGAAAGACAGCUGGGGAAAGCUUCCAGGUCAUUUAAGUAGGGAAGGUCUGCUUAUGUUUUCAGGUGGACGUGCUACUGCUCGUGAUCUUGUCAAGAAAAGGCUGAAAGCAUUCAAUGAAGCUUUUGAUGAGAUGUAUAUGCAGCAGUCAAACUGGGUUGUGUCUGACAAAGAUUUGAGGGAGAAGACAUGCCAGGUUGUAGUGCAGGCGGUUGUGCCUGUUUACCGAAGCUACAUGCAGAAUUAUGGACCCUUGGUAGAGCAAGAUGCAAGUUCCAGUAAGUAUGUAAAGUACACCGUGCAGACUUUGGAGAAAAUGUUAAUGUCUCUUUUUCAUCCAAAGCCCGGGAGAUAUGGCAGUUUCAAAGGCAGGCAGUCUAGUGGGAAAUUCAACAAUGGAGUAGCAGAUCUUCGUCGUACUGCUUCUGCAGUUGUCUGAUUUUCUAUCCCUAUUUACUUUAUUUUGGUUAAUCUGAAAGGGUAUCAUGCUCCAAUAUUCUCCUCCCAUAGUCAGAUGGUUAGCCAGUUGCCUUGUAUAUAUAAUGUAUUACCAAAGAGCCAUGCAACUGUUGCAAAAAAAAAAAAUCAUUUAUUGGAUUUAGAGAAGGGUGUUCUUCUGAACAUUGGCAUUCAAUUGCCAAAAUUUUCUCCAUGAGAUGGAGUUUUUGUAACUUGUUGACGAAGAAUAGAGAACUAUUUCCCAUGCUUGAAGGGUUCUGACAAAGACAUAAGAUCUCAAGUACCAGACAUGAUGUUGAACAAGUUUUAAGGGCCUAUUGGAUAAGGGACCUUCCUGAGAUGCUUGUCGUCAAUGUUGCGGGAUCCCUGUUGUUGUUGAGAACUUAUGUAUUGCAGCCAUGAUUUUACUGAAACUUAUUGACAAUAAAUUGGCAAUGUAUUACAACCCUUUUUUCUUUUUGA